CCUUUGUACACACCGCCCGUCGCUACUACCGAUUGAAUGGCUUAGUGAGGCUUUCGGAUUGGAACUAGGCAGCUGGCAACAGCAGCUUGGAUCUGAAAAGUUAUCCAAACUUGGUCAUUUAGAGG
rnacentral:rRNA from 1 species